UGAGUACGAGAUGCUACGGCAUUGAAGCAGUCUAUGUCAUACUUCCAAGAAAAGCUUGCAAUGUCAUAAACAAAUAAUGCCUGUACCAUAACCGACACAGGUGGGUAGGUAGAGUAUACUAAGGGGCGCGAGAUAACUCUCUCUAAGGAACUCGGCAAAAUGACUCCGUAACUUCGGGAGAAGGAGUGCCUUAUUUUAUAAGGUUGCAAUAACAAGAUCCAAGCAACUGUUUACCAAAAACACAGGUCUCCGCUAAGUCGUAAGACGAUGUAUGGGGGCUGACGCCUGCCCAGUGCCAGAAGGUUAAAGAAGUUGGUUAGCAUUAGCGAAGCUGAUAACUGAAGCCCUGGUGAACGGCGGCCGUAACGAUAACGGUCCUAAGGUAGCGAAAUUCCUUGUCGGGUAAGUUCCGACCCGCACGAAAGGCGUAAUGAUUUGGAUACUGUCUCGGAGAGGGGCUCGGUGAAAUAGACUUGUCUGUGAAGAUGCGGACUACCUGCACCUGGACAGAAAGACCCUAUGAAGCUUUACUGUAACUUGAGAUUGAAAUUGGACUUUAUUUGCGCAGUAUAGGUGGGAGACAUUGAAAGUAUUCUUGCGGGAAUAUUGGAGUCAUCAGUGAGAUACCACUCUUAUAAUGUUAGAUUUCUAACUUUGUAUCAUUAUCUGGUCAAAGAACAGUUUCAGGCGGGCAGUUUGACUGGGGCGGUCGCCUCCCAAACGGUAACGGAGGCGCACAAAGGUUUCCUCUGAACGUGUAGAAAUCGUACCUAGAGUGUAAAGGCAUAAGGAAGCUUGACUGUGAGACCUACAAGUCGAGCAGGGACGAAAGUCGGUCUUAGUGAUCUGACGGUGCUGAGUGGAAAGGCCGUCACUCAACGGAUAAAAGUUACUCUAGGAUAACAGGCUGAUCUCCCCCAAGAGUUCACAUCGACGGGGAGGUUUGGCACCUCGAUGUCGGCUCAUCGCAUCCUGGGGCGGUAGUACGUCCCAAGGGUUGGGCUGUUCGCCCAUGAAAGCGGUACGCGAGCUGGGUUCAGAACGUCGUGAGACAGUUCGGUCCAUAUCCGGUGUAGGCGUUAGAAUAUUGAGAGGAGCCUUCUUUAGUACGAGAGGACCGAGAAGGACAUACCUCUGGUGUACCAGUUAUCGUGCCAACGGUAAACGCUGGGUAGCUAUGUAUGGAGAGGAUAACCGCUGAAAGCAUCUAAGUGGGAAGCCCACCUCAAGAUAAG
rnacentral:rRNA from 1 species